CAUAAAGGUUACUAGGUUACUAUUUUCAACGAAAACUGUUUAUUUAUUAAGCAGUAUAAUAUACCUUCGACGAAAUCAAAUGUAACCAUACCAACGUAAGAAAUAACAUAAACAAAUCCAAACUUUUCGUCUUGCCAUUCCACUUGUUAACUCCACCAUCUUGGUGUAACCUUGAGUAAUUUCAUUUCUGGCAACUGUGUAUGCAACCGCCAUUUCUCUAAUGGAAUACGGAGGUAAACAUUACGAUACGGAUGCGAUACGGAGCUUAAAAUCGUAGAAAUCCAUAGCAACAGUUUCACGCAGUCAUCGCAACCAACAGCAGCAAUUGACCGCCUCUCGAUCGAUUCGUUGUUCCAGGAAACGAUGGAUAUCAGUUGGGCCAAUCGUACCGUCAGCAGCAAGGAAACCAACAACAACCGUUUUACACUGAGCAAUCAACAGCGACCGAUUCGGACAACAUUGACUCGGAUGGAAGCAGCAGCAACAGCGCAGAUUGUCGGUGUUAUUCCAUAUACUGUCUGCAGUAAAAACUCCACUAGUUGAUGAACGAUAUGCUACGGCGAAAGUAUCACAAUUUCAAACACAUCGUCCCGACAACAUUAAUUCUAAAGCGGUACUUGACGACGGCACCCAGCGAAAACCAUCAUCAUCACUACCACCGACAGCAGUCCACUAAUCCUUCCAUCAAAGGAUCGGAGGGAAAGCGAUAUGUGUCCCAUUUGUGACACAAUUUCCUCCACAAAUCACUCAACAGCUCAACAACAGGAAAUCCGCGUCUGAGGAUGAUGGGGAGAGUCAGUUUGCGUGGUAAAUUUGCUUCAAGGCGCUUCGUUACUGGAUCGGUACAUGCUGCCUCCGCUCGAAUUUGGAGCGUCACAUCAAGCAGUAACAUCCUUAAUUCUGGUCGUAUUGUCAGCGCGGAGGCAGAGAUCCAAAUCCAUCGUCGACAUGGCAGAAAAAAAAUCGUAUAAAGCCUAACGCCAAACCGUGUCAACUGCCCCUACUGGCAUGUUCCCCUGGGACAACAACAUCAGCAUAGGAUCGGAAAACAACAGUCCACUGGAGAAAACUGCGAUCUCUUCGAAGGUAUUGCCCAUGACAGAUUCCACCGUGAAGAAGUAUUUUUCUGAUAUCGAACUCUAGGGGGGAGUUCGAUGCCAGUUAGCGCUCUAGUUGAAGUAUCCAGUGAAUAGAGAACAGACACUCUGUUCAA